UACGUAGGGUGCGAGCGUUAAUCGGAAUUACUGGGCGUAAAGCGCGCGCAGGCGGUCUUCCAAGUCAGUGGUGAAAGCCCGGAGCUCAACUCCGGAACUGCCAUUGAAACUGUGAGACUAGAGUACGAGAGAGGUGAGUGGAAUUCCCAGUGUAGAGGUGAAAUUCGUAGAUAUUGGGAAGAACACCGGUGGCGAAAGGCGGCUCACUG
rnacentral:rRNA from 1 species